GCUGGGGACCUAAAACACAAAGGGACGCAUGAUAAAAUAACUUAAUAUGUAUUCCACAUAUGAAUCGCUUACCUGUCAUACUGUGUGCUAACUUUCAUCUAUGCUGUGAUAAUCCAAGUGUGCAUCAAAUGCUUAUGCUUCACAACAUACAUUGUGAAGCCUAUCCCUCUAACUGCACUGUAGGGUACACCAAAAGCUUCAGAAUGGAUUAUUGACAGCGGAUGCACUAAUCAUAUGACUGGUGAUCAAAGUCUUCUCAUGGACUCAACCUUACGUCCAUCCGACAAGAGUCAAAUCACAUUUGCUGACACUGGUAAAGGCAAAGUAUUGGGUCUAGGUAGAGUUGCAAUAUCAAAGGAUCAACACAUGGAUAAAGUGAUGCUUGUUGAAUCCCUUGGAUUCAACUUAAUGUCUGUCUCAAUGCUAUGUGACUUAAACAUGAUUGUGAUAUUUAGAAAAUAUCGUUGCCUUGUACUAAUGGAAUCUGACAAAUCUCAAGUCUUUGAAGGGUAUAGGAAAGGUGAUCUAUACAUGGUAGAUUUCUCAGUAGGUCCAAAACUUGCCGUAUGUCUUCUUGCAAAAGCUUCAGAAUGCUGGCUCUGGCAUCGAAGGCUGGGGCAUGCAGGCAUGAGGAACUUGCACACUCUCGUCAAGAAGAAUCAUGUCAUAGGCAUCGAAGGCGUCAAGUUCAAGAAAGAUCAUCUGUGUGGUGCCUGCAAAGCUGGAAAGAUGACAAGGGCCAAGCAUCCUUCGAAGACAAUCAUGACGACAUCUCAACCCUUUGAGUUGUUGCGCAUGGACUUAUUUGGCCCUACUCACUACUCCACCCUCACAACAACGGCGUGUCUCUAUGGCUUCGUCAUUGUUGAUGACUACUCAAGAUACACAUGGGUGCACAUAAUUCUCUACAAGACUGAAGUACAAGAUGUCUUCAGACGAUUCGCCAAUCGAGCAAUGAACAACUAUGGCAUCAAGAUCAAGCAUAUCAGAAGUGAUAACGGCACUGAAUUCAAGAACACCGGCCUUGAUCUUUAUCUGGAUACAAUGGGAAUCACUCAUGAAUUUUCUGCUCCAUACACACCACAGCAAAAUGGCAUUGUUGAGCGCAAGAACAGAACCCUUAUUGAGAUGGCUCGAACAAUGCUCGAUGAGUACAAGACACCAAGAAAGUUCUGGCCUGAAGCCAUUGAUACAGCUUGUCACAUCAUCAACCGUGUCUACAUCCAUAAGCUUCUGGGCAAAACAUCCUAUGAGCUCCUCACUGGCAAGAAGCCAAAUGUCAGGUACUUCAGAGUCUUUGGUGCUAGGUGCUGGAUCAAGGAUCCCCAUCACAAGUCAAAAUUUGAACCCAAAGCUCACGAAGGCUUCAUGCUUGGCUAUGGAAAGGAUUCACACUCUUACAGAGUCUUCAACCUCUUCCACUACAAAAUCGUUGAAACAGUGGAUGUGCGAUUUGAUGAAACCAAUGGUUCACAACGAGAGCUCCUGCCAAGCACACUUGAUGAAGCUCCUUCCAGUGAAUCUAUCAAGCUAAUGGGAACUGGUGAAAUCAUGCCCUCUGAAGCACAGCCUGAAGAGGAACUUAUCAUCUCUGCACCAAACCAACCUGAAGACAAUGCUCAGUCCGAAGACAAUCCUCCCAAUGAUGACAAUGAUCAACAUGAGCAAGAGCUUCGUCCAGUUCAUCCUCGUGUUGCAAAUGAAGUACAAAUCGAGAAGAUAAUUGAUAGCAUCAAUGCGCCUGGUCCGCUUACUCGAUCAAGAGCAACACAGCUAGCAAAUUUCUAUGGGCAUUUUUCAUUUGUAUCAAUAUCUGAACCCAAGAAAGUUGCUGAAGCCUUUAUGGAACCUGAAUGAAUUCAAGCCAUGCAAGAAGAACUUCAACAGUUCAAACUGAAUAAUGUUUGGGAACUGGUCAAGCGCCCUGACCCUCGCAAACACAACAUUAUUGGAACAAAGUGGAUAUAUCGAAACAAGCAAGAUGAGCAUGGUCAAGUCAUUAGAAACAAAGCACGUCUUGUGGCUCAAGGAUACACUCAAGUUGAAGGAAUUGACUUUGAUGAAACAUUUGCUCCUGUUGCUAGGCUUGAAGCCAUUCGCAUACUGCUAGCCUAUGCAAAUCAUCACAAUAUCUUGCUAUAUCAAAUGGAUGUAAAGAGUGCAUUUCUCAAUGGCAAGAUUGAAGAAGAAGUGUAUGUUGCACAACCACCUGGCUUUGAAGAUCCAAAACAUCCUGAUAUGGUGUACAAACUCAACAAAGCACUGUAUGGCCUCAAACAAGCUCCUCGCGCUUGGUAUGAUACAAUCAAAGACUUCCUGAAGAGCAAAGGCUUCAAACCAGUAUCCCUCGAUCCCACACUCUUCACGAAGACAUAUGAUGGUGAACUGUUUGUGUGCCAAAUAUAUGUGGAUGACAUAAUCUUCGGUUGCACCAACCAGAAGUACAGUGAUGAGUUUGGAUAUAUGAUGCAAGAGCAAUAUCAGAUGUCCAUGAUGGGUGAGCUGAAGUUCUUCCUUGGUCUUCAAAUCCGUCAACAAAGAAAUGGCAUCUUCAUAUCUCAAGAAAAAUAUCUCAAAGAUUUCCUGAAGAAGUUCGGCAUGCAAGAUUGCAAAGGUUACACGACGCCAAUGCCAGCCAAACAUCAUCUUGGUCCCGAUGACAAUGGUAAAGAGUUCGAUCAAAAGGUAUACCGCUCCAUGAUUGGUUCUUUACUUUACCUAUGUGCAUCUAGGCCAGAUAUUAUGCUUAGUGUUUGCAUGUGUGCUCGAUUCCAAGCGGCACCAAAGGAAUCGCAUCACUUAGCAGUGAAGCGAAUUCUUAGAUAUUUGGUUUACACCCCAACACUCGGAUUAUGGUAUCCAAAGGGCUCAAGGUUUGAUCUGGAUGGAUUCUCGGAUGCUGAUUAUGCUGGUGACAAGGUGGAUUGCAAGUCUACAUCAGGCACAUGUCAUUUUCUUGGUCGAUCACUUGUCUGUUGGUCUUCAAAGAAGCAGAACUGUGUGUCACUCUCAACUGCUGAAUCUGAAUACAUUGCUGCUGGAUCUUGUUGUGCUCAGCUUCUGUGGAUGAAGCAAACUCUCAAGGACUAUGGCAUCGAUCUGAAGCAAGUCCCUCUCUUCUGCGACAACGAAAGUGCCAUCAAGAUUGCCAACAAUCCAGUCUAGCACUCGAAGACAAAGCACAUUGAAAUUCGUCAUCAUUUUCUCAGAGAUCAUGUCAUGAAGAAAGAUAUUGACAUCAUUCACGUCAACACUGAAGAGCAACUGGCAGAUAUCUUCACAAAGCCCUUGGAUGAGAAAAGGUUUUGCAAGUUACGGUGUGAGCUAAAUAUCUUGGAAUCCUUGAAUGUCCUGUGAUCAAGCACACAUCCUAACACUUAUGCAUGUAGAUGACUUGGAUGUGCAACACACAAAGUAAUGUAUAUCUUCAAUCAUUGAAGACUUACACUCUGAGUGUGAAUAUAUUAACAUGGAAUUUGACUUCGGAGCGCCAUGAUAAUUGUGCGCCGUGUCUGGGUCUAAUACUUCCUAUACGGUGGGAAACGCCACCACCAAAUUUCUCAUUUUGAAGUGUUUCACUCAUGGCGUUAUUUUGCAAAGACUUCGCAUUUGGUUUGUCUUCAGUUUCAAUUUAUCUUCGUGAUUUUCUGUGCUAUGAUGAUUUCAUUGCAUAUAUAUAUAUACUAGUGUGCUGUCCUCUACAGCAUUCACUUAUAGCUAUGUCCUCACUGUUGAAUCUUUUGAACUAAGUGAAUGUGAUCGGACCCUAAUCUCUCUAUGCUUACUAUCUCAAACUCUAUCUGUCCAAAUCAUAUGCAUUCUAUUGAAACUGUCGAAUGUCUUCUCUGCAUCCUUGUCAGCAGAAGACACAGAGACAAAACAUCAAGUCCUAUUUAAAUGAAUCAUCUUUAUUGUCGAUAUCCGGAGAAGCCGGAACAAACAUCCGACAUACUUGGCGGGCGUGGGAACGUGGGACAAUUCUAAAUGUGUUGCAUGCUUGCCACGCACCCCACGAUGUGAAUAGACAGGGGCACCUGCGUAAUUGCGCUGUGCUGCGCACCUACUUAUAAAUAUGUGUCCCCUGCGGUAAAGAAAUCCUUCUUCCACCUCUCCACCUCCGUCAAAACCCUAGCGCCACCGCUAGCUCACGACGAUGCCGACGACGAAGCGCUUAGCUGCCGCAACUUCUCCGACGCCGUCCUCACGCCGGCCGCGAACAUCGUCCUCUCCGCCGUCGCCGUAGGUGUCCUCCGUCGCCAAGUUAGGGCACGGUGGACUGAACUGCUUGGUCUCCUAUUCUUCCCAUCUAGUAGUUCUUCGUGCGGUAAUUAUAACUCUAUUUUUACCACCUUUAUGAUCUUCAAGAUUCAUCCUGUUUACCGAAAGUAGUUUCUACCUAUCCAAUGUUGAAUCGAUUCUGUCUGCAUCUCUUAAUGCCUAGCAUAUUCACUUAGAUUUCCUAUCUAGUUUGAUUCCUCACUUGUACUUAUUCACGAAUUGGUACAAAUCUGGAACCAACUCACCUAUAUAAGUGAAUGUCUUCGCAUCAUGAGGUCAAUGUCUUCAAACUGAUUUAUCUUCAAAAUCUUCUGAGAAUGCAUAUGACCUCGUCCCCUUCCCUCGCAUCUCUAAUGUUGUCACAGGUACAUGUCCGUGGGAGAAUCCCUAGGUUCUCAUAGUCUGCAUUCGUUUGCAGAAUACUUACAGCAUCAUAUCAAUUCUCCUGAAGCCAGUUCCUGCUUGACCAGCAAGCGUAAAUCUCUGAAGCCUUUGAGCAUAUUGAAACCGUUCAGUUUGAAGUUCAUGGCUGCACAGAAAUCGGUCAGGAAGGGUGGCAGACAGUGUCGUGGGGGAACUUCUAGGGAUCUGCCUAAUGAUCUUGCAGAUAUAUACAAAACAGAUCCUGAAGAAGAUUACAAUCAACACAAGACUAGAAUCCAAUGGAUUCGACGCUAUUGGGCUGAACAGUGGUACAAGUACAAGUUCGUCGCCCAGGAGUACGCAGAGAAGUAUGCUAUCAAGAGUCCUUAGGGCGAUAUUCUCUAUCGAGGCCUUCCCCCCAAGAACAGAGCUGAAGCCAUUGAGCAAAAAUUCUAUCCGUGCAUGGUCUGUGGACCACAGCCUGAAGAAGCCGACCCAUCAUCAUUGCUCUGGUGUCGCGACGACAAUCUCUUCAAGCGCAACUUCCAGUUUGCUAUGUCUUCAGCAAAGGAAAACAAGAAGUCAUGGGGAUUAGACUUCAAUCCUGGUCCCUCUGCUCCCCGUGAGGAUGGGACACGUGAAGCUGAAGAGAAUAGAAUUGGCCCCUUUGCAAACCUUGAUGGUCUCAUCUCCUACAUCUUGGUUCAUGGUGCCAAAGUGGAUCAUCCCAACAAUGAUACUGAUUCAGAUGAAGCCCCUGCUCCUACUCCAAGGCCGAAGAAGCCAAAGAAGUUUAAGGUUUCAUCAUCAGCCGCACCUCCAAAAGCUUCUCGUGUGAAGCCAUUGGCCACUACACCUCCUGAAGCCAGUGUGCAGUCUGAAGAUCAAUCUCGUAUCUCCAAGAAGACGGAGAAGAAAAAGCAACUUGUUAGGCGUACUGAUCAAGCUCUGACUCCUGCUGCUAUUCUGCGUGAAGAACCCAUUGAUCUAUCAAGUGAUGAAGAUCUUGCGGAUGAUGCUCUUGAGCAGCUGAUAAAGAGCAAGGAAGAAGCAGAAAUCUUCAGCAAUUUGCCUCUCUUUGAUGUGGCCAUCAUCCACAAUUUCAUUGAUGAGUGGUUUGACACCCCAAAUGUCAGCUUUGAAGAUUUGCAGCUUCCAAUUGGCCUCGGCGUCUCUUUCAAUGGUGCCAUUGCUUCUGAGCUGGCUCUCGCUCAGCGAAUCGUUGAGCUCAAGCACAAGAUUGAUUAUGAAAAGGCUCAAUUCAAGAAGCAUAUGGCCAAGCUGAGUGUUCAAGAUGUCAGGAACUUUAAGGUCAUGCUGCAUGAGCUUAAAGAAGCUUUUCUGAAGAAGCGCCAAGAAGCUCAAGGCUCUCGUGAGCGCAUGAAGAGUUUGGCUGAUAAGUGUGUGCUUGCCUACAAUGAGGCUGAGAAGCGCAAGUCACUUGGCCGUCCUGGCAUUGACCCCAGGAUGGCAGCAAAGAAAAAGAAGAAGCUUCCUGCUGAUCAGCUUGCGCCUUCAAGCCAAGAAGCUCCACGCAUUAUCUUCCCAAGUAGCAUGACUGGCUCGAAGCCAAAGGUCACCACAACCGCUUCAGAACAGAAGAAGACGAGGGCUGUAGAGGCUGAAGCCAGAAAGAGGAAGAAUACCGAAGCCUCUGAUGCCGCUCCCUCCAAGAAGAAGCGCAAGACCAAGAAGAAUCGGGCUGCUCCCACAGAGCCCCUUUUUGUUGAACCCAUCUUAGUGAUUCAUCCUGCAUCUGCAUCCCAAGAACUUCACAUGACUGUUCAUGAGCCUGCUUCCACAGAGGCUCCUGAAGCUGAAGAUAUACCAGCAGCUGAACCCACCGCUGCUGAAGACAUUGAUCAUCAUGACAAUGUUGAAGAUGAUGAAGUUCUUCCUCAGAUCGAAUACAAUGUGGUAUCAUCGCGUGUUCAUACGAACAGCGAACUCAUCAGCAUUGGUCGUCCUCUGACGCCAAUUGCACAGGAUGAUUCAUGGGCUGAUCGCCCGCAAGAACAAGACUCCCCAACACUCCCCAACAACAACAAGUCACAACAUCCGUACAAGCUGAAGAGGAUGAGGGCCUGCCCACUCCAUCUCCACAAGCGUCGCCAGUACUCCAAAGGCUUCACAAAGUACCAAGGCCUCAAGCUCCUCUUCCGAGCGUUCUAGAAGGAGAAGUGCAUCAUCAACCUGUUGCACGUCAAGUGUUUUCAGAAGCCACUCCUACUGUGAAUGUCUCUGCGUCUGAAGCACCAGCUGCUGAAGACAAUCCGGCUGCAUCAGCCGAUGAAGAACGUCAAGAAGAACAUGUCUCUACUCCCCCCAUUCCUGAAGAAACAGUUCAUGAGGUGAACGUGUCAAUGCCUGACCCUCCAGCUCCUCAAGUGGAGGUUGAAAAUCCUGAAGCUGCCACAACCAACACAAGUGAAGCCGAUGACAUUGUCAUGGCUGAAGCUAAUGUGGAGCUUGCAACAACCAGUGUGCCUGAAGCUAAUGCGGCCACUGCACCUGAAGCUAGUGAGGCUACUGCUUCUGAAGCACCCAUUGUGCAACCUGAAGCCUCUGCUGCUGCCACUGCUCCUGUUCCAGCCCCAAGGCCCUAUACAAUUGAGCAGGCAUAUAACCACGGAGAGCUAACAACAGUCAGAUGGCCUGUUCUGGUCCCUCCGCCUAAUGUCUCUGGUCCUCAAUUUGACUAUCACGUUGAGCAUAGGCCUCAAGUCCAGAAGCCCAAGCCAAGACUGCAAAGAUUUCCUGGUACUACCACCACUGUCGGGUCCUUCAAUGCAAAUGGCUUCAAGAGCCACGAGACAUUCUUUGAUAUCUCGAAGAACCCCUACACAAAGCCAAGAAUUGCAUCAGAUCGGUUCUGGAGUCAUCAGCAGCGAAGCUAUUACUCCUGUGUUCUGUAUGAUCAAGGGCGCAUCUUCCCUCAUAUGCGCCUCGACACUGAAGCCAUUACUGGACUACCCUGCUUAGAAGAAGCACUUGACUGCUUUCGUGAUGCUGGGCUGCUCAGUUUUGUCACAGAUAAAGAACACUGGAAUGAAGAACUAUUGCUUCAAUUCUAUGCCACACUGCACAUUCGCGGCUACAACAGAGAUACGAAGACUUGGGUUCUCGAGUGGAUGACCGAAAACGUUCAUCAUGAAGCCAAAGCUAUGGAUAUCAUCGAGCUUACAGUCCUGUCCACUCCCGGAGAACUCUAUGAACCUGGCUGUCAACAUCAUCGCAAUGCCCUGGAAAGCAUCUUUCAUAGGCCUGAACCCAAUAUGAGUCAGAUGCUGAGCAUGAUGAAGCCUUUGCCCCGUGAUGCUGAAUAUCCAACAGAGUUCUUUGUUGAAGACCUUGAGUAUCUGCCAUGCACCAUAUAUCACAUCAUCAGGCGGACUCUAUGGCCUAUCAAAGGACAUUCAUCAGCGGCAAAGCUUGAAGGAGCUAUGAAGACUUUGGUCUUCUACAUUUUCAAUGGCAUCAGCUUCAAUGCACAAGAUUUCUUCAUCAGACAACUUGCUGCCUCCGGCUCUGAUCUCUUUGGUCUGAAGUUUUAUGCUCCAUGGGUCAUGCGCCUCAUAAAGCGACACUCUACUGUCAACUAUCAACCUUCUGCUCGCAAUCAUGUGAUUUUUCUACCUGAGGUUGAUAUGUCAGUUGAAGCUAUAUAUCCUGACCCUGCCAAGAAGCCUCUUUGUCUUCAGAAUGCCGAGCACCAAAGCUUCACUCAACCCAUUGAAGGUGUUCAAGCAGCUACACGAAUCUAUCCAUUGGCUGGAAAUACUCGUCUGCCUCAUCGAGCACCUACUGAAGCCACUGAAAGCACCAUUGCCCAAAGGCCUCGGAAGCAUUCUCGCGUUCUCAAUGAUCGAGAACUUCUUGUGGCCCUUCAUCAGGAACAGGAUAAACAUCACUUUUGGCUAAAGAGACAGAUGCAAAGCCUCUUGGUGGAUGUCAAUCACAUUCGCAACCUUGCCACCAAGAAUGCCUUUGUUGCUCAUGAAACUUGCCGGCGAUCAUGGAAGAGUUUGACCCUGCUUAGUGCUGAAGCAGAUCUUCAAGACGAUGGCUUCAAUGAAAGAUUUCAGUUUGACUCCACUCCUCAACGGAAUGCUGUCCUACGAAGAACUCCAUCUCUUGAAGACUCUGAAUAUUCUUCCUCCGCGGCAACGGUAAAUGCCAGAGUGAUCAAUUAUGAAGAUGAUGCUACUUCACCACCUCCUACUACUACUGAACGCAUCGACACUGCACCAAGUUCAUCUGCACCGCCACCCAACGACAACAACCCUGCUGCUUCACCUACUCAUCAAGAAGACGAGUAGAUGCUCUAUGUCUUCAAACCUUUUUGGUCAUUACUGACAAAAGGGGGAGAAGCGUAUGAGUUGAUAGUCUUCAAGCGGGUUCAUAUGGGCGGUUGCGUUAUAUUUUGCCUCGUGCUUACAACUCUUGCAUUUUGAAACAUUUGGUUCUCUGAGUUGUAACACUUAAACUUGAUGGUCGUCUGCUACUUAUUUGCAUUUCCAUGUGCGAUGAUAACUUCCGCACUUAGAUCAUCCUGCAGACGUCCAUUUUUCAUUAUGCAUGUCAUCCUAUAUGCUAUAUCAUUUCAUGCCUGAUGAAUUAUCUUCAUAAAUUGAAGUGGAUCUCCACAAGUACAACCUGCCAUGUGCAUUUGCAUUCCAGAAGCAAAAUUAUUUAUAUGCACAUCUUCAGGGGGAGCCCUUGCUACUUAUGAAGACAAAUUCCUAUCCUUUACAAUUUCACAUACUUUAUCCCCAUUGAAAACUUCAACCAGUUUGUCAUCAAUCACCAAAAAGGGGGAGAUUGUAAGUGCAUCUAGUGCCACCCCUAGUUGGUUUUGGAGUAUUGACGAAAAAGUUGGUUGAGGGUUUAAUGCGUUUGUGAGAAUUGCAGGAUAACGCAGGUAGUGUCCCUCAUUGAUUCGGUUUACCAACCGGAGAUGACCCCUAAAAAUGUAUGAAGACAUUGACGACAAUGGUGGUAUGAGAAGAUAUUCAUAUUGAAGACUGUGACAUGAGAAGACAUUGCGUGAAGACUAUGGAGCACGAAGACUGUGUGGUUUCGUUGUUUCCUUUUCUUCUUUGUUGAGUCAUAGGAACCACCGUACUGUUAAGUGGGGUCCAAGUGAACUAAGUCAGAGUGACUGAAGUGAUGCUCAACCCAAAUCCUAUGUCUUCGAGCGAAGACAAUGAGAGCAAAUCUUAUCUAGAGUUGGAUGAGUCAGCUUUGCUUGUAGCCCAAGUAAAGUUGUCGUGUGUGUUUGAAAUCUGACCGUUGGAACACAUGUCAGUUCCUUAGUGACCCAGGGUCAUUUCGGACAAAUCAGGUCGGGUUGCCUAGUGGCUAUAAAUAGCCCACCCCCUACACCAUAAAUUGGUGGCUGCUCAGAGUUAAUAUACGGCUUUUGUCGUUUGAGAGCAACCCACCUCGAAGCAUUUGAGAGAGAGAAAUCCUUGCGAGGACAAAGCCCAAACACCCAGAGCCAAAGAGUGUUAGGCAUCACUAAAGUCUUUCUGUCUGUGUGACCUGAAGACUUAUUACACUUGAGGACUGUGCAUCCUCUAGCCGGUUAGGCGUCUCGUUCUGAGCAUCCAAGAGUCAUUGUGGAUUGUCGGGUGAACGGAGUCUGUGAAGGUUUGGAAGUCUACCUUGAAGACUUACGAGAGUGAUUGGGCGAGGACUGGGUGUCCUUAGCUCAAGGGGAAUAAGGUGAAGACACUGUCUUCUGAGUUGAAUCUCAGCCUCCCUAACCAGACGUACAGUUGUCACAGCAACUGGAACUGGUCCAACAAAUCAUGUGUCUUCAACAAGUGACUGGUUCUGUCUCUUCCCUCCUUUACUUUGAGUUUGUCUUCAUGAAGUCAUUGCUUAUCUGUCUUAUCUGAUUGACUUCAUUGCUUGACUACUAUUGUUGAUUGGCUUCAUAUUAUCUUCCAUCCUGAUCCUACUACCUAGCUGCUAUUGGUCUUCGUACGUUAAUGCUAUUGCAUACUUGACUAUGGCUUGCUUGUUGUAGUUUAUCUUCCGUUGCAUAUCAAUUAGGUUAUUUCUAUUGUUUGUCUUCGAAACUUCCAUGUUUUGAAGACUUUCAUAAAAAUCGCCUAUUCACCCCCCCUCUAGUCGAUAACUAGCACUUUCACAACUCCCCUUUGACCUUCUUAGUAAAAAGAGUGGGGUCGAUUUUCCCCAUUUCGAACCCACGAUAUUGCAACAACUCGGUAAGGUGCUCAUACCACACAAGUGGGUCUUGUUUAAGGCCAUAGAGUGCCUUGUCGAGUUGGUACACAUGAUCGGGGAAAUAGGGAUCCUCGAACCCCGGGGGUUGUUUGACAUACACCAGCUCAUCAAUGGGAGCAAAGGUUUCACCAUAGUCGAUACCCUCGACUUGGGAGUAGCACUAUGCCACCAAACGAGCCUUGUUGCGAACAAUGAUCCCAUGAGCAUGUUGCUUGUUCUUGAAUAUCCACUUGGUUCCAAUGACAUUAUGAUUCCCCGUUGGCCUUGGCACCAAUCUCCACACUUGGUUGUGCUCGAAGUUGUUGAGUUCUUCAUGCAUGGCAUUGAGCCAAUCCGGAUCCUCGAGCGCCUCAUAUACCUUUUGGGGUUCGACACAAGAAACAAACGCGUGAUGUUCACAAUAGUUUGCUAAUUGUAUACGAGUGCUUACCCCCUUUCUUAGUCUUCCAACCACAUUCUUCAUGAGAUGACCUUUGGUUGUGAGCUUGGAAGCAAUCUUCGCGGCACGAUGCUCGAAUUCCUCCUCAGGUGUGAAAAGAGGAGCGGAAACUUGAUCAUCUUGAGCGCCGUCAUGAGCUUGUUCUUGAUCUUGAGCCUGCUCUUGAUCUUGAACUUGCUCGGAAGGGAGAACUUGACCUUGGGCAUCACUUGGUGGCUCACCACCAUCUUGAGGUUGAUCUUACCCUUGAUCUUGUUCACGUGGUUGAGGGCCUUCACUUUGUUCUUUGGAAGCGUGUGGGUCUUGGGUCGGUGAUGGCUCCACUUGAGUGGAGCAUUGUCCUUCUCCUUCGGCCACAAGGGGUUCCCCAAUGGGUAGGAUAUGACCAACACCUAUUCUUCUUAUGGCUUGGGGAGGAAUUUCAUCACCUACAUCGCAAGUACCACUUUACUCCACUUGGGAGCAGCUAUUCUCGUCAAACUCCACGUUACACGUCUCCUAAAUGAGUCUCGUGGACUUGUUGAGGACACAGUAAUCAUGAGAUUUUGUAGCAUAACCAAUAAAUAUGCCCUCAUGAGCUCUAGCCUCAAAUUUAGACAACCGAACACCUUUCUUGAGAAUGAAACACUUACAACCGAACACCCGGAAGUACUUGAGGUUGGGCUUGUUACCGGUGAGUAUUUCAUAUGGAGUCUUGUUCAAGCCUUUGCGGAGAUAGAGCCGAUUGGAUGCAUGACAUGCGGUGUUGAUGGCUUCGGACCAAAAGUUGUAAGGAGACUUGAACUCCGCCAUCAUGGUCCUUGCCGCAUCCAUCAACGUCCUAUUCUUCCUCUCCACAACACCAUUUUGUUGAGGGGUGUAUGGUGCGGAAUAUUGAUGCUUGAUCCCCUCAUCACUAAGAAACUCAUCCAAGGUGUAGUUCUUGAACUCGGUGCCAUUGUCACUUCUUAUUGUCAAGACCUUUGCAUCAUGUUGACGUUGAGCUUCAUUUGCAAAGUCGAUGCCAGUUUGUUGAGUUUCACUCUUCCUCUUGAAGAAAUAUACCCAAGUGUACCUUGAGUAAUCAUCGACAAUCACCAAGCAAUACUUUGUACCCCCAAGACUAUCAAAGGAUGGAGGCCCAAAGAGAUACAUGUGAAGGAGCUCCAAGGGUCUCUUCGAGUAGAUGAUAGUCGUGGGAGGGUGAGCCUUCUCAUGUAACUUUCCUUUGAUACAAGCACUGCAAGCACGAUCUUUGGCAAAACUAACAUUUGUUAGUCCACGGACAUGGUCCCCCUUGAGAAGACUUUGCAAAGAUCUCAUAUUGACAUGGGCUAAACGGCGAUGCCAAAGCCAUCCCACAUCAACUUUAGCCAUUAGGCAUGUCGCGAUCUUAGUGGGUCGCUCCAAAAAGUUAAUCUCAUAAAGAAUGUUCUUGACAUGCCCAACAAAGGCUACUUUAAGAGUCUUGCUCCAUAAGAGGGCCACGGUAUCAAUAUCAAAGAAUGUGGCAAAAUCCAUGAGUGCAAGUUGACAAACAGAAAGUAAACUAUAUGCAAGGGACUCAACAAGCAUGACUUUCUCGAUCGUGAGAUCAUGAGAAAUGACAACCUUGCCAAGACCCAAUACCUUGGAGGACGAGGCGUCACCCUACUCGACAUUGGUGGGCAUAGAUGGAAUCUUAUGCACGUCCACCACCAAAUCCUUGCUUCCGGUCAUAUGAUUUGUGGCUCCACUAUCGAGAAACCAUGAUCCCCCACCGGAAGCAAACACCUACAAGAGAUCAAUGCUUGGUUUUAGGUACCCAUUUUGUAAUGGGUCCUUUGAUGUUAGUAACAAGGGUCUUAGGAACCCAAAUAGACCAUUCAAUGUACUCAUAAGGAGAACCAACAAAUUUAGCAUAAACAUGCCCAUCACUAGCACGGCACAACACAUAAGAGGGGUUAAAGUUGUCGGCUUUGUUGGAAGGGGUGGCAUUGCCCAUUUUGACAUCACCACCCUUCACAUUGUUCUUCUUCUCCUUAGAAGCACCCUCUCCCUCCUUUACAAAAGUUUGCUUGAGAGGAGGAGGUCGUUUGAUCUUGUUAUUCUUCUUCUUGUUCUUGGACUUGGGUGCGAACCCAACUCCCUCCUUGGCCACAACUUCCUUUUGAUUGCUCAAAAGGUCAUUGAGAUUCUUCUCACCUUGUAUGCAAGACACAAUGCCUUUCUCAAGUUGCUCCUUCAACUUGGCAUUCUCCUCCACAAGAUGCACAUGCUCACACGGGUUAGUAGCAUUUGCGUUAUCAAUUAAGACCAUAUGAGGAAAAGUGGCUUUCUCUUUGGUUAGCUUCACUUGGAGUUGAUCAUGAGACUCCUUGAGGUUAGCAUGAGCACCCUUCAAGGCCUUGUGAGCCUUGUCAAGUAUAUCAAACUCCUCUUUGAGUCUAGCAUGGUCAACCCCAAGUUUAGCCUUCUCGGAAUUGAGUACACGAGAUACAACAAGAGCAUGAUCAAGAUCUUUCUUUAAUUUAGCAUGGUCAUCGUUGUGUGACUCCUCAAGAGCCAAACAAUGAACAUGCUCUUCCUCAAGCGCAUUAGAGAGGUCCGAUAUCUCAUCUUCAUAGUCACGACUAUGACCUUCCAUCUUAGAGAUGGUUUCCUCAUGAGCCUCGAGCAUGUCAUUGGCUUCACCAAGUUGUUCCAAGGGAGCAACGAAGUGCUUCUUGGAUUUGCCCUUGAGCUUACUCAUAAAAGACUCAAAUUCAUCUACUUCCACAUUAGACCCCUCAUUUUCAUCAAUGCAAUCCGUCAAGGAAGGAUUAGUAAUGAUGGUAGUUUUGAUGUUGGGGGUUACCAUGUUGGUGGCUUUGGCCAUGAGGCACUUGGCGGUGAUGUUCUCGUUGGGUGAGUCGAAGAGAGACACCCAUGGAGUUGUGGCAAUGGCAACGGAGGCCAUGGCCAUGGCUUCACUAUCUUCAUCAUCAUCAUCCUCCUCGUGGUAUUCUUCUUGAGCCACCAACCCUUUGGUUGGAGUCUUCUUGGUGAAGUUGUUCUUGUUGGGGAAGGACUUGGCUUUGUCUUUUCCGAUGAGCUUGCCACCAUUGUCUUCCCUCUUCUCGUAAGGGCACUCCACAAUGAAGUGGCUCACAUUGCCACAAUUGUAACAUGUUCUCGCACGUUGCUUGCCCUUGAAGCCACUAGAGUUGUUCUUGUUGAAAUUGGGCCUUGAGUUCUUCUUGCUCCAAAAUUGCCUUGAAGCAAGAGCCAUGUGCUCAUGGUAAUCAUAUUUCGUAUCUUCGGGGUUGCUCUCCUCAUCUUCCUAUUCCUCCUCUUCUUCCACACUAACCUUGGCCUUCAAGGCAAGGUUGGGCUUAUUUUCUCUUUGAGAAUGCAACACCGCAUUGUCGGCGGUCUUGUCCAAGAUCCUCAUUGCCGCAAACUCAUCCAACACUUCACUUGAAGACAAGGUGUGGAAGUCCAGCCUUUGAUGGAUGAUGGAGGACCUGGCCUUGUGGUAAGGCAUCAUGGCCUUGAGAAACUCGCACUUGAUCCAAUUGUCAUCUGUAUCCUUGCUCCCAUGAUCUCGGAGUGAGACCGCGAGAGUAGUUAAUCUCCAGUAAAGCUCACGAGGUUCUUCAUCUUCAUUUAUUGCAAACUCAUCAGAUUCAUCUUGCACCACUUCAUAGUUGGAGCGUUGAAUGCUUGCGCUUCUCUUGUAGAGGGAAACUACUUGGUGCCAUGCUUCCUUGUCUACGGUGAAGGGUCAGAGAUGCGCAAUAUCUUCAGGUGGAAUUGCAUCUUGGAUGAUGAAGAGAGCAUUCUCAUUGAAUUGAUUAUCUGCGGCUUAUCUUGGGGUGAAAUUGCUUCGAUCAUGUGGAUAGAAACCUUCUUCAAUGAUUCUCCAAAGAUUAGUAUUAACAUGGUUUAAAUGACGUUUAAAGUGAUAAACCCAAGAGUCAAAAUCCUCAUUCUUCACAAUCUUGGGAGGAGAACCCGCAUGAUUUAAGUGAGUGGAGGGAACCGGUCCUCCAUAAGUAAGAGGUGGUUCAACAUGAGCAUAGAUACCAUUUCCACUUUUACCACUAGGCAAAGGAACUUUGUCACUAGAAGCUUCCUCCUUAUUGGAGUUGGCAUCCGCCACCUUGUUAGUGGGAGCGGCCACUUCCAAAGGUGCGGUGGAUAAUUUAAGACCAUCAAGGAACUCUUUGAACAUGCCAUUGACCUCGGUCGUCAUGGAGGUUUUCAAUGUGUCCAAAGCCACAUUGAAUUCCUCACGUGAGACCGGGGAUCCCCCAUCUGCCAUAGACGAAGAAGGAUUCACACCGGGGUGCUCCUCCUCACCGUCUAUAGUGUCAACCAUACUCUUAGGACGGUAAAGCCAUAAUUAAGAGAUGAGGCUCUGAUACCAAUUGAAAGGAUUGAUAUAGUUGACUAGAGGGGGGUGAAUAGGCAACUAACAAUUUUUAGCUUUUCUUUACCAAAUUAAACUGUGGAUCAAAGUAGGUUGUCUAGAUAUGCAACUAGGUGAGCAACAUAUAUGAUGCAACUACAAAAAGCACACAAGCAAGCAAAGGAUAUAACACAAUAUAACUUGCAGAAGUAAAGGUAAGAGAUAACCAAGAGUGGAAUCGAUGGAGACGAGGAUAUGUUACCGAAGUUCCUUCCCUUUGAGGGGAAGUACGUCUCCGUUGGAGCAGUGUGGAGGCACAAUGCUCCCCAAGAAGCCGCUAGGGCGACCGUAUUCUCCUCACGCCCUCACACAAUGCGAGAUGUCGUGAUUCCAAUAUUGGUGCCCUUGGAGGCAGCGACCGAACCUUUACAAACAAGGUUGGGGCAAUCUCCACAACUUAAUUGGAGGCUCCCAACGACACCAUGAAGCUUCACCACAAUGGACUAUGGCUCCGCGUGACCUCAACCGUCUAUGGUGCUCAAACACCCAAGAGUAACAAGAUCCGUAAGGGAUUAGUGGGGGGAUCAAAUUUCCCUUGGUGGAAGUGUAGAUCGAGGCCUUCUCAACCAAUACCUAGAGAAUCAACAAGUUUGAUUGGCUAGGGUGAGAGAUCGGGCGAAAAUGGAGCUUAGAGAUGGAAGAGGUAGUCAACUCGGAGAAGAAGACUCCCCUUAUAUAGUGUAAGACCAAAUCCAACCGUCAUCCACCAACUCAGCCUGCGACACGCCGUACUACCGCACCAUACAAGCGGUACUACCGCAGGGGCCUGCGGCACUACCGCGGCGGACCGCGGUACUACCGCUGGCACGGCAGGGGCUAGGACUAGUCCUGAUGUGCUAAGACAAGGAGCAGUAGAACCGCUGGCGCGGUACUACCGCACCCCCACCGCAAGGCAGGGAUAGUCUAGGCUGAGAAGGCACAGACAUAAAAAAAUACAUUUGUGACUACUUCCGCUGAGUUUAGGUCUAUGCAAAAAAUCCUACACGGUACUACCGCAAGCCUAGAGUGGUACUACCGUGUAGGGCACGGAUGUAAAAAAUUACAUCCGCUCCUACUUCCGCUCAUGCUGCUGUGCCUGGCCAGAACUCACGGCAAGGCGCGGUACUACCGCGUAGGGCAUAGAUGUAAAAAAUUACAUCCGCCCCUACUACAGCUCGAGCAGCUGCACCUGGCCUGAGGCCAUGGUACUACCGCUCCCAAGGAGCAGUACUACCAUGAGCACCUAUGGUACUAUCGUGCUGGAGCCCGGUACUACCGCGAGGGCCUGCGGUAGUACCGCUCUGGAGAGCAGUACUACCGCAUGCCUCAGUUCAACAACAUUAGGAGCCCUUCAUUUUGCAGACACACGGAGAGACGGAGGAUGCUCCAAAGAGCCAAAGGAAAGGUGGCGCAAAAAGGGACAAACGUGUACGUGAGAUUCCACCCAAACCUUUCCAACAUGGACCCCCUCUUAAUAGUACGGCUUUCCUACGACUCAAAUCCACCGAAAAGAAACGUAGAGAAACGCCGUCUUCAAUAGUCUUCGAGGGGCACCAAAUCGUCUUGUGUUUAGACAUGGUAUAUCUGAAAUGCUCAGUGCACACGAUUAGUCCACAAAAGCAUUGUCAUCAAUCACAUAAACUACUAAGGGAUAAAUAUGCCCUUACAACAGUAAUAUAAUAGUUUUGAUAGCAGUGAUAAUAGUAAUAGUAAUGGUAACAAUGAUAGCAAUGAUUUUGUAGUAGUUGUGAUAGUAGCAACAACAGUAGUAACUUAGUAAGAACAAUAUGUGGAAAAUUCGUAGGCAGUGGAUCAGUGAAUUCAUUGGAUGAUAUUCAUCAUAUAACAAUCAUAACCUAGGGUGAUACAAAACUAGCUCCAGUUCAUAAAUAUAAUGUAGGCAUGUAUUUCGUAAAUAGUCAUACGUGCUUAUGGAAAGAACUUGCAUGAUAUCUUUUGUCCUACCCUCCCAUGGCAGUGGGGUCCAUAAGGAAACUAAGAGAUAUUAAAGCCUCCUUUUAAUAGAGAACCGGAACAAAGCAUUAACACAUAAUGAAUACAUGAACUUCUCAAACUACGGUCAUCACCGGAAAGUCCUGAAUACUGUCACUCCGGGGUUUAUGGAUCAUAACAUGUGAUAGGUGACUACAACUUGCAAGAUCGGAUCUAGAAUAUAGAUAUAAUGGUGAUAACAUAAAUGGUUCAGAUCUGAAUCAUGGCACCCAGGCCCAAAGUGACAAGCAUUAAGCAUGGCAAAGUCAUAGCAACAUCAAUCUCAAAACAUAGUGGAUACUAGGGAUCAAGCCCUAACAAAACUAACUCGAUUACAUGAUGAAUCUCAUACAGCUCCUCACCGACCAGCGAGCCUGCAAAGGAAUUACUCACUCCUAGUGGGGAGCAUUAUGGAAAUGGCGAUGGAGAAGGGUUGGUGAUGAUGAACAUCGAAGAUUCCCCUCUCCAGAGUCCUAAACGGACUCGAGAUCUGGCCUCCCGAUGAAGAACAGGAGGCGGCGGCGGCUCCGUCUCGUGAAACGCGAUAAUUCUUUCUCCUCAAUUUUUUUCUCCGAAAAUGUGAUUUUAUAGCUUAGGAGAUUGGGUCAAUGGGGCCACCAGGUGGGCACAACCCACCUGGACACGCCAGGAGGGGGGCACCCUAGUGGGUUGUGCUCUCCCAGGGACCCCCCCCCCCUUCGGUGGUUCUUGGCUCCAGUAUUUUCUUUUAUUGUAUAAAAAUUCUCCAAAAAGUUUUGUUCCAUUCCGAGAACUUUUAUUUCUGCACAAAAACAACACCAUGUUAGUUCUGCUGAAAACAGCGUCUGUCCGGGUUAGUUUCAUCCAAAUCAUGCAAAUUAGAGUCCAAAACAAGAGCAAAAGUGUUACGAAAAGUAGAUACGACGGAGACGUAUCAAUGUCGCAGAAUGGAAAGAAAAAGUAAAAUGCGUCUUUUCCCUUUCCAAGAGGCACGACCGCCUCUACGAGAAGUAAAUUCGUGUCUCUCGUGGAACGAAAAAAACAUUGAUUUUCCCUUUUCGAGAGGCAUGCUCGUGUCUCUAGUGGAAGCAGAUCCAUGCCUACACGAAAAUUAAAUCUAUGCCUCUCACGAAAGAAAAAUAAAAGAAAAGAAAACCCAUUUUUUCACGAAACUUUUGGUCCAAGUCCUAAGAAAACCCGGGGGCAGAAAAGCCGAAACCCCAAAAAGAAGUCAUUUAAAAGCCGAAAACGCGUUUAGAAAAAUAACAAAUAAAAUCUGAAGGGAGUGCCUAGAACACGACACGUGGCGGCCGCUGAGAACGUGCCAAGUGGGCCACUCCCAGCCCACCCCAAGUGACCCUUGUGGGGGCUCCCGAACGAGUACUCCUCAAUUAGUUGCUCUUGCGGUCAAUGGUCAAAAGCAUUCUAGACGUGACAUUACACUGCCAGUAAUUGUUAGGGAUUUGAGGGGGCUCAAAACUUAUUUGAUUUUACCAUCAUAAAUAGCUUUGGGCAAUGAUAGGCGCCGGUGUGCCGGCCAAAAUUUAUGUUAGUCGUACCAUGAGCAUCUGAUGCACUGCCCUUUAAUCGUCCAGAUCGAGCCUCUGUUUUGUUCUCAUCCCCCCCAUCAUCUGUCUUCUUCCCCAAAUACGCGAGAAAAAGAGCGACGACGAGCGUCGCCGGCCACCUUGCUCCCAGCCAUGGGCGUGCGCCUCUCGCUGUUGGCGGUGAGCUAGCAGCCUUCCCUGUCGUCGUUCAGAUUGCUCACCGUGGCUACCUCGUCUUGCAGCUCCUGGUUGUGCACGCAUCGCUGCUCUGGCAGCGCCUUUCCUAGCACUGGCCGACAAGGGUUGUAGCUCGCGGCCCCCAUGGUUGUAGCACCGGGUUGCGUCGCCCCCACUGCCUCUCGCCGUCAACGCUCAGCGCACCGGUUCCCAUUCGCCACCCCUCGUCGUCGUCUCUUGGGUCAGCGUUUUGGCACAUAACCUUCGCAUCAAAACAAAACGUCGGAUAUAGCUUUUGAUGGUGCUGGUUGCAACCCACCGCGACGGCACCCGUUGUUGUCUUAGCACCACUUCGUCGGUUGAAGCAAAACAAUACACAUGUUCCAACUUCUGUCGAUAAUAGUUCCAGCAUCUACAUAACAUGGUUGUAGCUCUGCUACUAGCCGGCUCCAGCAAAAAUCAGAGGAUUGCGAGUCGUCGCCUCCGUCCGCCCUUGCUGCAAAAAAAACGGUUCCAGCAUCCCCGCUACCGGUUGUAGCAAAUUGUCGAUGAUGGUGUCACCACUGCAGCUCCAGUGCGCACGGUUGUAGCAUCUGCGAGCAUGGUUGUAGCAAAAAUCAUCGAUGACGGCGUCGCCGGUUGCAGCUCCGAGGAGCAUGGUUGUAGUAAAAAAUGACGACAACGGCGUCGCCAAUUGCAGGUCCAGUGAGCGCGCUUGCAGCUUCUGGGCGAUGCCGUGGCCGGUUGUAGAAUACAAGGACACUGGUUCCAGCAAAAACUCAUCUUGCCUUGACCAAGGUGCACCACCACCACCACCACCGCUUGUUGUAGCAGUCGUCGACGACGGUCAUAGCAAGGCCAUGCGGAUCACCACCACUCGUCGUUGCAGCGCCCUGAUGGACGGACCUCGUAGCUACGUCGGCGGGACUCAAAGCCGGAGUUGGGCGGAGGACAUCGCUGGGAUCUGCCAGGGUUGUAGGUGGCCAUGGCCGCGGGGAUGGGAGAGGGUCUCGCAGGCAACGACGGGGCAAUGAGGUUGGGCACCGAGCAAGCCAUGUAGGUGCUGUGGAGGUGCACAACUUAUCGGGGAGUCGCUCGUCGGGGAAGAUUUAUGUGCUAGGCUGGCCAUGGCUAGGAGUUCAAAGGUAGGGGACUGGGAGCAAAGAGAAACGAGUGACAACGAGUGAUUGCACUGCGUUGCGGGGAUAAGACGAAGAAGUGCACGAGGGCACAAGUGUGUUAGCGAGCAAGGCGUCCGGCGCAACAUUCGGCCGGCGCGCCGGAUACAAGCGUUUACCAAUAGCUUUUGUUCUUUCCUUUUACAUACUGAACCUUGUAUCGUUUAUUUUCGAAAAUUAAUAAAAGAUGCAGUCCAGCUGUUUCCCUGGGGGGGAAAAUCUGAAUAACGCGCACCGUGUAGGCGUGUGAACACAGAGCACGGGCGAAGGCACGGGAGAGAGAAUCCAGGCCGUCGAUCGCCGCAUCGAAGGCUCGCCGAAACGGGCGAGGAAACCGCAAUAAAAUCCCAUCCCCUCCCCCAACGGUCGUCUCUCAGCAGUGCGCAGCCCCAAUCCCAAACCCUCACAGGUUCAAAAAUCGAAUCCGCCGCUGCCCAAAUCUCACAUUCCUCCCUCUCUCUCCGUCUCUCGUCUCCUCCCCCAAUCUCGUCUCCGCCCUCCGCCCCCGAACCCCCGACUCCCCGACCCGAAGAUCUCCGCUCCUCCCGCUCCGCGCCGGCCCCAGAUCGCGGCGAUGGGAGCGGAUCCGGACGCCUCCUCCUCCUCGCCGGCGGCGGCGUCUCCGUCACGGCAGCCGCGACAAGGUACGCGACGCGCGGGUAUGGGGUUCCGUCGUGGGGAGAAAGAUACCGAGGUGUUGGGUUUCUCUUGGUUUUCUCAUGGCGAGGGUUUUCUUUCGGCAGGCGAGGAAGACCUCCGCGCCGUGGAGUCCGCGGACCACCUGAGUCCGAGCCGCCGCGCGGAUUCGAGCCCUGCGCCGCCGCCGUCGCCCGCGUCCGCCGCGCCGGUGCCCCAGCAUCCCGAAGGUACGGUCCUUGGUCCUGUUUGCAACCAAUUGAGCGCUAGGGUUUGUUGGUAUCCGUUUCACGGUGCGGGAUUUGUCCAGUGUCAGGCGAGGACGCGGUGCUGGCCAGCGAGGAGGCGGUGGAGGAACAGCCCGCCCUUGAGGAGGUGGUGGUGGAGGCGGAGGCGGCUGUUGCAGGAGGAGAUGGGGAGGCUCUCCGCAGCUUCUUGGAGGUGGGAAAUUUUGGAUUCUUGCUCUCAGAUCUCGUGAAUUUCUUAGCUCCUAACGUUUUAGAACUCCUGGGCGUUCUCUCCAUUAUAUCUGGCCCAUUCUUUGUGAUCUAUGCCAAUGAUUUCUAGAUUUCUUCCUGCAGGAAUUCGGGGAUCAAGCAGAUGAUUAUAUUAUCCCAUCUCCGCGCCUGAAGGGGAUCGCAACUCCUGACUGCCCUGCUGCCCUUCAAUUCCUAGGUACACAGUCAAGCAUAAUACGCACCUUGCUUACGGAUGGAUGGUAAAACUUAUUUGCUCAAUUGCUUGCAGAAUCAUUGACAUUUGAUCUUGUUUGUUGUACCUGUAGGGGGGAGGUACAAUAGCCUGAUGGAGAAGCACAACAGCCUGAUGGAGAAGUACAAGCAGCAGGUGGCUAAGUGUGCCGAGGAGUGUGCACCAAGGUUUGAUGGCUUGAAGAACAAGUACACGGUGGAGUGUGCAGAGCGGCGGCGUUUGUACAAUGAGCUCAUCGAGCUGAGGGGAAACAUCAGGGUAUUCUGCCGGUGCCGCCCUCUAAGUUCCGACGAGAUCUCCCGUGGCUGCUCAUCAGUGGUUGAGGUUGACCCGUCCCAGGAGAUGGACCUUCAGUUUGCUCCCACGGAAAAAGAGAGGAAGACCUUUAAAUUUGACCAUGUUUUUGGACCGGCUGAUGAUCAAGGUAUUUACUGUCCUAUGUUUCAGAUUCAUAGUUUUGUGAUAUGAAAUGGAGGUUAAUUGCAUAUCCCAGGCAAUAUGUUGUAGUAAUAAUUUGAUUGAACUAAUUGCAUAUGCAUUCCUUUUCCGAAUCUAUUUUAUAUUCCCUCUGUAAAGUAAUUAGAUCUUUUAGAUCACUACUCCCUCCGUCCGAAAAUACUUGUCAUCAAAAUAGAUAAAAAACGAUGUAUCUAAAACUAAUAUACAUCUAGAUGCAUCCUCUUUUCUUCAUUUUGAUGACAAGUAUUUCCGGACGGAGGGAGUACAUGAUUAUAUAGUUGAAGGAUGUUGAAUCUAAUGGGUUUUAUUCUAAUUGUUUCCUUCAGAGGCUGUAUUUGCUGAGAGCCUGCCAGUCGUGAGAUCAGUGAUGGAUGGUUUCAAUGUAUGCAUCUUCGCAUAUGGGCAAACUGGAACAGGGAAAACCUUCACUAUGGAAGGUGUUCCAGAGAAUAGGGGUGUUAAUUAUAGGGCUCUUGAAGAACUGUUCAGGAUCUCAGAGGAGAGAAGCUCAUCUGUCUCGUACUCAUUUGGUGUGAGUAUCUUGGAAGUCUAUAAUGAAAAAAUCAGGGACCUUCUUGAUGACAACUCUGAACAAACAUCAAAAAGGUACAUCUCGUUUCUUAUCAUUUAUCCUGACUCUGUAGUAAGGAAUGGAGCUUAAUAUCAUGUUGCAUCUGAAGGUUGGACAUAAAGCAAAGUGCUGAUGGGGCACAAGAGGUGCCUGGCUUGGUUGAAGCUCCAAUUUCUACAAUAGAUGGUGUGUGGGAGAAACUGAAAGCUGGCGCUAGAAAUAGAUCUGUUGGAUCAACCAGUGUCAAUGAACUGAGCAGUCGCUCCCAUAGGUAUCGUUUCUACACUUGUAUGACACUCGUUCUAAUUAAUUCAACUCAUGAUAGACUGUUAACAACUACUCCUAGAUUCAAAUUAGUAUACUUGACAUAGUAAUGACAUUAUUUCAGCAAUGGGAUAAUGAUAUCUGGACUUCUGUUGUACUUACAGCUUGGUUAGGGUCACCGUUACAAGUGAGCAUUUGGUGACUGGGGAAAGGAGCAGAAGCCACAUGUGGUUGGUUGACCUUGCUGGAAGUGAGCGCUUGGCUAAAACUGAAGUAGAAGGAGAGAGGCUGAAGGAGGCAAAGUUCAUCAACAAGUCACUCUCUGCACUGGGUGAUGUUAUCGCUGCCCUUGCCUCCAAAAAUGCCCACAUCCCAUAUCGGUCAGUCUUAUUUAUUAUCCACAUGCUUCAACAUCUGCCUUGCUCAGUUACUAAAAGAAGCAAUACCCUCAGCUGAGUCUUACCACUACUCUUUUCUGUCAAAUGUAGGAACUCCAAGCUAACUCAUCUGCUCCAAAGCUCAUUAGGUAAGGGACUUUCUAAAAGAGUUGUGCAAGUGCACUGAUUUCUAGCUAAAUGGUUAUGAUUAGUCUCCUUUUAUUGAACUUGCUUAUGCACUGGAAUGUCUAAAGACAAAAAUGAAGAGAUAAAGAGUGUUCACCUUGCAUUAACUGUUGCAGGUGGAGAUUGCAAGACACUUAUGUUUGUGCAGAUAAGUCCAAGCUCUACAGAUUCAGGAGAAACUUUGUGCUCACUAAAUUUUGCUAGUAGAGUUCGAGCUAUUGAACAUGGCCCUGCCCGUAAACAAGUGGAUCCAGCUGAAAAUUUCAAGAUCAAGCAGAUGGUACUUUAUUUCCGACCUUGUUGACUAAUUAUAACAUGAUUCAGCUAUUGUAUUAACUGGAAAUUGUUCCAGGCCGAAAAGCUCUGUCAUGAGGAAAAGGAAAAUGCGAAGUUGAACGAAAGCUUGCAACUGAUGCAACUCAAGUAUGCUUCUCGUGAGAAUGUCUUCAGAACUCUUCAUGAUAAGGUAUGUGGUGCCAACUAUAAUUGCUAACUGACAGACUAAAAACCAAUUCAUUAAAAAAAACAAUUCAUAUAUGGAACUAAGUUUUUAACAUAUAUGAAUGUUGUGCAACAGAUAAGGGAGACUGAGCAAGCCUGCAGAACUCAUCAGCAGCGGGUAAGUAAGAGAUUCAGUUCUGCUUGCUUGAGCAAGCCUGCAGAACUCAUCAGCAUGUAUUUUCCUAUGCUGGUCUGUGUUUAUGACAGUUCUAUUUGUACAGGCUAGAGAGCUGGAGAAUGAAUUAGCUAAUGAGAAGAAGGCUGCGAGGGAUACGGGUAAAUCCACGAAGCCAUCAUUUGCCGCUCCUGUGAGGCAGAGACCACCACUUGCUCCUAUGAGGCAGAGACCACCAAGCAACAACAUGCCACAACCUUCAGGCCCUUCCAGAGUGAGGUUCGCUGGUAAGGGAUCUUCAGUUCAGAACAAAGAGAACAUCCCUACGACGAACAAAACCAUUGUGGACAAGACUGCUGGCAAAGCACGGCGUGUAUCUUUAGUUCCCAUGAUGCGACAGAUCCCUCUCCAGCCUAAGAGGCGAUCCUCGAUUGCGAUCCUACCAAGCGAGAGAGAGCGGAUGUCCAUAUUUCCCGAGAAGAAAGCAAUGUCACGGCUGUCCCAUGUCCAAAUGUCAAGAACAGCAAGACCACAGGCGACUUUUAACUCAAUUCCAGAAACACCACAGGCAGCAGUCGACGCAACUCCAGAUGUCAGAGGAAAGUUUAGAAGAAUGGAGUUCGGCAGCAGCAGCAGGUUCUCAAGCCCUCCAACGCUGUCCAUGCGGAAGUCAAGGAACAAUAUCUCGUCUCCACAGCAGAGGUGUAGGCAGCAGUCAGGGUCUGGAAAUGCCAGCAAGCUAUGCUUCAGUAUCCAGAAAAGAGUAGCUCUUGGUUCACCUGCUCCAGCAAGAACAACUUCCCUGACGUCUGGUACUGGCAUCUUUGAUCCAGCUCUGCGUGAGCAGAUAAUGGCAGGGAGAUUCGGCAAUGCGCAGCGGGUGUUCAACGCCAAGAGGAGAAUGUCCGUCCUCUAGGGGGGGCGUGCGUGCUUGGGAGGUGAAGAAGAUCCAGUUUGGAAUGUUGAAACAACAGUGCGGAACCGGGAUACUGAAGGAACGUGGCACUUUUGCUUCCUCGGAGAAGACCAACCAUGGCUGGGGCGGGAGCUUGUGUUGAUAAGAGAACUUGUAACUUGUGUUAGGGUUCUCUUGGCGAUGAUAAAUGUCUACUUUUAGGGUUGUGUAUAAUUAUACCCUGACGGGUUGGUUGGUUGGAUUAGCCUUUGGCAUCAGUCUGGAUGUUCUUUCCCUCCUAGAAGCUGCUUGCCUAUUAUGCUACUUACUGAUAAGAAAACUAGGUUCCAGUUAUUCAUAUCAUUUGUUUGGAAUGAUAUAUAU
rnacentral:lncRNA from 1 species